rnacentral:rRNA from 1 species
UACAGAGGGUGCAAGCGUUAAUCGGAAUUACUGGGCGUAAAGCGUGCGUAGACGGUUACGUAAGUCGGAUGUGAAAGCCCCGGGCUCAACCCGGGAAUUGCACUCGAGACUGCGUAGCUAGGGUGCGGAAGAGGGAAGCGGAAUUUACGGUGUAGCAGUGAAAUGCGUAGAUAUCGUAAGGAAGACCAGUGGCGAAGGCGAGUUCCUGGACAGUUGCUGACGCUGAGGCACGAAGGCCAGGGGAGCAAACGGG